UCGACUGUACUCGAACGGGAUCACUUCUAUAGGAGAUCUGCACGUUCGCCGCUACAUCGACAGACAACACCACAAGUCGCGAUGACGAGUUAGGCGUCCUGCCGAACUUGAAGGGAGGCCCCGGACCGGCAGGUACGGCGGCUUUGAUGAUCAGGGAAGUCGGGCGAAAGCUCCACUUCCAUCGGCGUGGACGGGUCUGAGCGACG
rnacentral:snoRNA from 1 species